rnacentral:rRNA from 1 species
UCUGGUUGAUCCUGCCAGUAGUCAUAUGCUUGUCUCAAAGAUUAAGCCAUGCAUGUCUAAGUAUAAAUAGUAUACAGUGAAACUGCGAAUGGCUCAUUAAAACAGUUAUAGUUUAUUUGAUAAUUGACAAUUACAUGGAUAACCGUGGUAAUUCUAGAGCUAAUACAUGCUUAAACGCCCGACUUUAUGGAAGGGUGGUAUUUAUUAGACUGAAGCCAAUAUUCCUUGUGUCUAUUGCGGUGAUUCAUAAUAACUGAUCGAAUCUCUUUUUGAGAUAAAUCAUUCAAGUUUCUGCCCUAUCAGCUUUCGAUGGUAGUGUAUUGGACUACCAUGGCAGUAACGGGUAACGAAGAAUUAGGGUUCGAUUUCGGAGAGGGAGCAUGAGAAACGGCUACCACAUCUAAGGAAGGCAGCAGGCGCGUAAAUUACCCAAUCCUGACUCAGGGAGGUAGUGACAAGAAAUAGCAAACCGGGAACCUCAUGGUUUCACGGUAUUGCAAUGAGAACAAUUUAAAACCCUUAGCGAGAAUCAAGUGGAGGACAAGUCUGGUGCCAGCACCCGCGGUAAUUCCAGCUCCACUAGCGUAUAUUAAAGUUGUUGCAGUUAAAAAGCUCGUAGUUGAACCUCUGUCUGGGGCUAGUUUUGGCUUUGGUCAGGCUAGUUCUAGGCAUCCGCCUACAAGACUUAGAGGGCAUUCAGUUGUUCACUAGGAGGAGUAGGCAUUUUACUUUGAAAAAAUUAGAGUGUUUAAGGCAGGCAAUCGCCCGCAUAUAUUAGCAUGGAAUAAUAGAAUAGGACACUUUUCCAUUUCGUUGGUUAUUGGAAUCGUGUAAUGAUUAACAGGGACAGUUGUGGGCAUUUGUAUUUAAUUGUCAGAGGUGAAAUUCUUGGAUUUAUUAAAGACAAACUAACGCGAAAGCAUUUGCCAAGGAUGUUUUCAUUAAUCAAGAACGAAAGUUAGGGGAUCAAAGACGAUCAGAUACCGUCCUAGUCUUAACUAUAAACUAUUCCGACUCAAUGUUUGACUGGCUUAUAUAACCAGUUGAGCGUUGUAUGAGAAAUCAAAGUCUUUAGGUUCUGGGGGGAGUAUGGUUGCAAAGCUGAAACUUAAAGGAAUUGACGGAAGAGCACAACCAGGAGUGGAUUCUGCGGCUUAAUUUGACUCAACACGGGGAAACUUACCAGGUUAAAACAAUUGUGGGAUUGACAGUUUGAGAGCGCUUUCUUGAUUGGUUGGGUGGUGGUGCAUGGCCGUUCUUAGUUGGUGGAGUGAUUUGUCUGCUUAAUUGCGUUAACGAACGAGACCUUAACCUGCUUACUAGACUGGCGAUCAUCAAUCAAU